AUCAUCCAUUUUUUUCUAAAGUUUAGGAGUACUGAGAGCAAUUCAAAGAGAACGAAACUCCAGUUUUUUUUAUUCGAAAUGUUCGUUAAUUUGGCCUCCAAUUCGAAGUUGAUAAACAAUCAGAUUAAUUGAGUCGGAUACGUGCAGGGGUUUCUUAUGAUUCACAGUUGAUCAAUCUCUGGACCUGAUGCAAUUACGAAACACCAGAUUUUGGGGACUCUAACCAGUUUGGAUUAUAGGUCUUUCGUGAUCCAAAUCAAUAGCCACUUCGCUUCUUGCAAAGGUAACUAUAAUUCUAUUUUCAGGGUAACUUUAAGUCAGUUUUGUACGAUCAGUUGUUACCUGAAAAGUGACAUUGGUUUCUAUACCUUUUUUUUUACACUAAUAAAAAAAUAACCUCUCUCCAAAAAACCAAUAGAGAAAACUUACCCACCGGCUGAUUCUCACCAGCUCAGAUCUGCUCCUUUGGAGUAGGUCUGAGCAGGUACUCUCCUCUCUAAUCUCUCAAUCUUCUCUUGAUUUUUAUUUAAGCAUUUUCGAUCUUAUAUCUAGCUAGUUUCUUUUUCCUUUUUUUCUUUUUGAUUUAAGUAGAUCGAAUCUUCCGUAUUAGGAUCUUAGAUUUAUGAUUAAGGGUUUGCUUCUGUUUGAUUUUCAGAUCAACUCUUAUAUCAAAGUACUUGCUAAUUGUUUAAUUUUUUUUUGUCUGUUUUAAAAUCUUAAAUUAAAAUUAGGGUUUGACUCUGUUUGAUUUUGUAUCAAAUCUUAAAUCAAAAUCUUAAUUAGUUGUUAUCUUUUCUUUGUUUAGGUUUAGUUAUCUACCAGUUCCAUCUUUAAUUUUCUUUUGUGGGAUUUCACCUUUGGAUUUUACUUUUUAUGAAGUCAGUCAAGAACAGUACUCAUGGUCCUCCAACAUCAGCAGGAAGAGUAUCCUCAAAGACACCAGCAGCAAUGAAGACACCAAAGAUACUAGCAACAACAAAGACACUAGCAAGAAGUGGUUACCGAAGACACAGUCAGUUGAAGUUUCAGACCGAUUUAUCCCGAUUCCGUCUCAAGAGAACCGAUUUUGGUUUUCUAUGUUACUUGUAUCACCUUAUGUUUGAUGAAAACCUUGACUAUUGGUGCUAUCUAUGGGUUCUCUUAUACCAUUGUCAUUUGUGUUACUAUAAUCAUGAAAAAAACCUUGAGAAUUGGUUGGAUAUAUUGAUCCUGACACCUCUACUAUGUAGAAUUGUUAGAAGGUUUGAAUGAGUUUAUCUCAAUUCAAACCAGGCCAGUUAACCUUAUCACGUCACGUAGGAAUCGGGUUAGAAUGGAUAGAGAUUUUUUCAGAGUGUGAUUGGUAUCCACAUUGUUUGGUUGUCUGAAUUUGUAUGUCAUCUGGUUGUUGAAUAUUGUCUGUUUGGUCCUAUUGAGCUUGUUGAGAAGAUCCAAGUCUGUAAUGUAACUCGUUAUGUAACUCAUCCGAUUUUCAAUCGGUUUCGAAAAAAAAAAGCAGCAUCAACGUAAAACAUGAGUUGGAAUGUUGUAGUACAUAACGUUUGAUAACUA